GGAGGUCACUGCUAUUGGGGUUCGGUUAAGCCAUGCGAGCGGAGGGCGCGGUCGCAAGAUCGUGGCCCCGCACACGGCUCAGUAACACGUAGUCAACCUACCCUUGGGACGGGGACAACGCCGGGAAACUGGCGAUAAUCCCCGAUAGGUGAGGGACGCUGGGAUGCUUCUUCGCUCAAAGCUCCGGCGCCCGAGGAUGGGACUGCGGCCUAUCAGGCUGUUGGUGGUGUGACGGACCACCAAACCUACGACGGGUACGGGCGAUGGGAGUCGGAGCCUGGAGAUGGGGACUGAGACAAGGCCCCAGGCCCUACGGGGCGCAGCAGGCGCGAAAACUCCGCAAUGCGCGCAAGCGUGACGGGGGAACCCCAAGUGCCGUUGGUCUUUUGAUCGACGGCUUUUCGGAAGUCCAAUAAGCUUCCGGAAUAAGGGCUGGGUAAGACUGGUGCCAGCCGCCGCGGUAACACCAGCAGCCCAAGUGGUGGCCGCGAUUAUUGGGCCUAAAGCGCUCGUAGCCGGAUCAGCAAGUCCUUUGUGAAAUCGGGCCGCCCAACGGUUCGGCGUGCAAAGGAUACUGUUGGUCUUGAGACCGGGAGAGGUCGGAGGUACUCUUGGGGUAGCGGUGAAAUGCUGUAAUCCUGGGGGGACCACCAGUGGCGAAGGCGUCCGACCAGAACGGAUCUGACGGUGAGGGGCGAAGGCUAGGGGAGCGAACGGGAUUAGAUACCCCGGUAGUCCCAGCUGUAAAGCAUGCGGGCCAGGUGUCUAGCGCUCCUCGAGGGCGCUAUGUGCCGGAGGGAAGCCGUUAAGCCCGCCGCCUGGGAAGUACGGCCGCAAGGCUGAAACUUAA
rnacentral:rRNA from 1 species